UCUCUCUCUGUGCAAUGGCUCCACAAGAAAAAGAAACCAGAUCCAAAUAAAACUAAACGAAAAUUAUGCAAAAUCAAACCUAAAAGUGAGUUGUUGAUUUUGUUAGAACAUCAACAAGAUCGAUUUAGAAGAGAAAAACAAUAAAUCAAAACCUGAAAAAUUAGGAUUUACAAAUCGUAUUUUAAACGAAUUAACUGUCUUCUUCAACAACAAAAGCUUGAAGAUUCAAAAUUAAAGAUGAUGAUGGUGGUGGUGGUGGUGGUGGAGGAGGAGGAUAUUGUUGUUGAUGUUGAUGACGAUAAUAAUAGAGGUCAUGGACGUGGAGGUGAUGGAGGAGGAUAUCAAAUUUCUGUUUUCUUAGAAGAUGAUGGUGGUGUUGGAGGAAGAUUUCAGAUUUCUGUUCCAUUAGUUUUAUAAUGAUGGUGGUGGUGGCGGCGAUGGAGGAGUACUGGUGAUAGUGGAUGUUGUUGUAGUGGUGGUGGUGGUGAUUGUGGCAGGUGUAGCUGUAGCGGUCUUCAGUUUCUAUGGAUCAACUAUAGUUGUUGAUCCCAUUUAUGGGAUCAUAUCCUAUUUGUUAACAACAUUUCCUUGGAUUAGUAUAGUCAUGCUUGUAGUUUAAAUCAUGUUUGUUAAAAAAAUUAGCUUAAUUUCCUUGUAAAACUCUUCAAAUGUUGAAUUUUUGGUGCAAUGGUAGCAUGAUUGACUCCACGUCAGAUGAUGCGUGUACGACUCACGCCAAGUUCACUCAUUCGUAUAUGUCAUUUUUUUGUGUCCAACUUUCAUUGUUGCAGGCCAAAGAUUGUUGUUGCAGAGUUUAGAUUAUGCAAUCAUCAGAUAACAAUUUUGAUUUUGAGAUUUUUGAUUCACUUCUCUAGCAUGAAAGGGCUUGACGUGUUGAAGUUGAUUCACUACAGCUUUUUUUGCAUCUUUUUUAGGUUUCAUACCAGUUGGAUGUUUCUUUUUUUUUUUUUAUGAUUUUUGGUUUGGACUUGUUAUGUUUGUAAUGACAUACAUUCUGAUUUAUUUUUAUGAAUGUUAUUCUUGUGUUUCUUAAGGAUA